GCUACCUACCUUCUCGUAGCAAACUGCCUCCCAUACUUGUUUGCUCAAAUUAAGUUUUGUAACCUGAAAGUAGAGAGGAACAGACCAUUGCUGUGGUUGCUACCUGAGGCUGCAGGAGCAUGGGUGGUUUAAUGAGAGUGAAAAUCUGUCAACAGUAUCGAAGACAGUUGAUCAAUUUUCUGACUUUGUUUUAGCAUAUCUUCCUUACUAUUAUAUUGCAACACCUCUGUAUCAG